UACAGAGGGGGCAAGCGUUGUUCGGAAUUACUGGGCGUAAAGGGCGCGUAGGCGGCCUGUUAAGUCAGACGUGAAAUCCCUCGACUCAACCGGGGAACUGCGUCUGAUACUGGCGGGCUUGAAUUCGGGAGAGGGAUGUGGAAUUCCAGGUGUAGCGGUGAAAUGCGUAGAUAUCAGGAGGAACACCGGUGGCGAAAAGCGGCUCACUGGACCGUUUCUGACGCUGAGGUGCG
rnacentral:rRNA from 1 species